AUCCGUAUAUGUGUCCUAUAAUCAUAUUCUUAAAUGAGGAGAUGGUCAGGGUACAUUUUAAAGCAAAGGUGAGUAGAAGCUGAAAGUUAAUUUCCCCUCCUUUGAUGUUUGAGGGAGAAGAUCCCUGUUGAUGCAUAAAAUGGAUGCAUCAGAAGAAAAACGAUGGUUGUUGUCUGGUGAAAAAGACCUCACAUGCCUUAAUUUUGGUUUGUUUCUUGUACAGACAUGCUCAAGCGAAGAAAAUAUAUGGUGUUGGAGGAAGAGCAAGAUACGCGCUGAACGACAUGAUCGAACUGUAGCUCUUGCUCAGCGAGUACAAAAGCCUAAGAAGGAUUCGAGCAGGCAGCGCCAAACUUCUGAGAUCAAACAUGCUGAGAAAUGUGAAAAAACAACACCCACAAACUUCUGACAAGAAC